GGAAGGAUCAUUGAAUCUAUCACAAUCCACACCUCUUUUAUGCGAACCGAUCUUGUUUGGCCCUCGGCCGGCUUCGGCCGGCCUUGCUGGACCGCUGCCGGCUUCGGACGGCUUCGGAACAGGCCUGGCCAUAAUAAAUCUUAUUUAUUAUGGCUGGGUUGGCUCUGUUUCCAACCAACCAACACCAAAUGAACCACUCUAAAGCAAACCCGAAGCGCUAGGCUUAGAGCCGAGGCUUCAAAAACCAAGACAACUCUCAACAACGGAUAUCUUGGCUCUCGCAACGAUGAAGAACGCAGCGAAAUGCGAUACGUAGUGUGAAUUGCAGAAAUACGUGAACCAUCGAAUCUUUGAACGCAUAUUGCGCUCGAGGCUUCGGCCAAGAGCAUGUCUGCCUCAGCGUCGCUUUCACCCCUCACACCCUCCUUCCUUUCUUUGGAUAGGAGUGCGUGUGGACCUGGCCUUCUCAGCCGUUCUUAUAUCGGCUGGGUCGGCUGAAGCGCAGAGGUUGAUGCAUGGACCCGCUUUCGGGCCUCAGCUGGGUAGUGCAACUCGUUUGCUCAAUGCUUUAGCUGUUGGCUUGGGACCGUGCUCGUCGACCCGAACCAGGAAAGCUUGGUUAGCAAGCUCUAAUCAAACCUUCGACCUGAGCUCAGGCAAGAACACCCGCUGAACUUAAGCAUAUCAAUAAGCGGAGGAAAAGAAACUAACCAGGAUAGCCCUAGUAACGGCGAGUGAAGCGGCUAUAGCCCAACUUGAAAAUCUCCCUCUGGAGAAUUGUAGUCUAUAGAAGUGCCCUCUGCGUCGGGCGGAGCUCAAGUCCACUGGAAAGUGGCGUCAGAGAGGGUGAGAACCCCGUCGGCUCCUGCUUCGGCGCUCCACGAGGUACUUUCCACGAGUCGGGUUGUUUGGGAAUGCAGCCCUAAUUUGGUGGUAAAUCCCAUCUAAGGCUAAAUAUUGGCGAGAGACCGAUAGCGAACAAGUACCGUGAGGGAAAGAUGAAAAGAACUUUGAAAAGAGAGUCAAAAAGUGCUUGAAAUUGUUGAGGGGGAAGCGGUUGGACGGCGUAUGUGCGCCCAGGCUCAAGCGAUUCUAACGAGUCGUUGAAUGUGCUGGGUGCUGGUCAGAUCGGGUUGCCUUGGCGGGAUAACAGCCGGAAACGUAGGUAGUCUGGCCGAUGCCGCCGAGGCGACCAAGGCGUGAUGGGCGCUCCGUCCUUCGGGAACUGCGUCCAAAAGGAUCUGGCAGAAGCCUUUCAACCGGCCCGUCUUGAAACACGGACCAAGGAGUCUAACAUGUAUGCGAGUUGGUGGGUGGAAAACCCAUAAGCGCAAGUAACCUGACUGGUGGGAUGGCGUAAGCCUGCACCAUCGACCGACCAUGAGCUUCUGCGAAAGGUUUGAGUGCGAGCAUACCUGUUGGGACCCGAAAGAUGGUGAACUAUGCCUGAGCAGGGUGAAGCCAGAGGAAACUCUGGUGGAGGCUCGUAGAUGUGCUGACGUGCAAAUCGCUUUUCGGACUUGGGUAUAGGGGCGAAAGACUAAUCGAACCAUCUAGUAGCUGGUUCCCUC
rnacentral:misc_RNA from 1 species